UCCCUGAUAGCUCAGUUGGUAAAGAAUCUGCCUGCAAUGCAGGAGACCCUGGUUUGAUUCCUGGGUCAGGGAG
rnacentral:tRNA from 1 species